UACAUAAGGACUCUAUACGGGCUCUUGGAUACCUCAUAAGGGAAAAGGGAGCAGUUUUUUCUUAUAACAGUGACUUACUACAUACAACUGAUGAGGUGGACUCUAGUCUAAGCAUGGAAUUUGGUAUUUGGUACGUUGAUUGACAGUACUGUUCUGCAAGAUCACUCCUCUGGAUGUAAACCUGCACAUCUAAAAAGAUUCUGCUCCUACACCACAAAAACAUUGGAGAACGGAUGGUGGAGAAUAACGUACCACCAUAUGGGGUUAAUCUGGAAGCCUAGCAAAUGCUGAGAGUUUCAGCUAUCAACGCAAUGAAACGCCAUUGUGGAAGUGAAAGAUGGCGCAUAUCUUGGCUUCAGGGGUUUUGUGACACUGAGUGGAGCAUAUGAUUGACAAGUGGAGACUGUAUCUUGGGAUAGCCAGCCUGGAGACAAGCAUUUUUGACGUGGUACAAGGAAGAAAGGCUGCUACUCAAGAGUAAGAUUCUCUUGAGAGCCUGGUUGAGUUUAUGGACUGUUUCGUCCAAGGAUAUUGGAUUGCUCCAAAAGGGAAUAUGCUAGUUUCCUGCAACUUAUGCAUUGCAUUAUCUGUCUUUUCCAUCUUGGUGAACUAUUUUCUUGUUUCCUAAACCUGGGGUUGCUUCUCUUUAUUUUAACACCUUCAUGCCUGGAAGCCAUAACCUAUUCUACCUUGCAAAGCUUCAGAGGAGCUCAGGAAGGCUGAUCGAUGAAGGGGAAGCCCCCUUUAUCCAGGGGCAGCAAAUUCUUUUAAAGAUGGGGCUGAGCAGAGAGGUACUCUGUGCUACCUGGGAACAGGCUUCCUCAAAUGGCAGCGGACCUAGUGGGGGCCGAGAGGUGGCUGCCAUUCAACCCAGACUUUGAGUGAAUGAGAAUCUUUUGGAAUCGUGUGCCAUACUCUUCCUUCCAAGAAAAAUCCAAGACAUGGAGUGAAAUGGUUUUGACCGCAUUCUCCCUUUCAGAACUUCAGGGGACCACCCCCUCCUCCUGCAUUAUGCUUAUAUUCCAAGCGGUGGCGAUAUAUCUCAAUCUGCCAGCGCACUCCACCACUGACCUACAUGUUGAAAUUCUUCUACAAAAGAGUUAUUCUUCUACACAGAGUGUAGCUUAGCUCAACAAGGCUAGGAGGCUGCUGUUGUGAAUUGACACAGUGUUUAUCUUGCAUACAUCUCACCUUUCGACGAAUUGCCUCCUUUCACCCUCCACAAUAUCUGAAACCCACUGCUUGCUGUUUUCUGCACCCUCAUGUGCUGUUGGUGUUGUUGAUUAUAGCCUCUUGAAACCUCUAGAUGGCACUGUAACUCUGCCUAAUGCAAAGGCACGGGAAGCAACAAUAUCAGUUUUAAAACGUUCCUUUCCCCCAGCGGAUAAAGAAAUCAAAGCCACUCAGUGAUAUGCUUCCAACUCCUGAUAUACUGUUCCGUAUUGGGCAAGUCCUGCAAUCAUUUGAUUUAUAUAUUAUUAAUAGGAUUUUGUGCCACGAUACUCAUGUAUGCUUGAUGCAGAAUUUGGAAGCAAUGCCUGAGCGAUGAAUAACGGCAUAAUUGUGUGAAUAAACAAGCAAUUCUCUUCAAGAAAGUGUGCAAAAACCGGCUAAUAUUUCGUUUUCAUCUUAAUAUCAAAAGUUGGUCUGUGUUGAGCAGCAGAAUUCAUAACCAUAUGUUCCAUUCAGGGUAUUGGGCGGGGCUGUCCCCUGGUGCUGAGUGCAGGGCAAAAGGACAUUCUUCAAAUUCUAGAGAACCUCUUAAUAUAAUGUUCCAUAUUUAUAAGCUAUCUGUCCGCACAGCAUGCUCACCUCCUGAAUUACUUUGCUUCCCCAAGUAGAAGAAGGGAAAGGAGUAGACUGUGAUUUAGAAACCUGUUAUCUUAUACAAGAGCGAGGCUCACCAGUGCAUCUUCCCUCAAGGAAUGGGAUUGCUGGCUGGGACUGAUGGGAUUCUUAGACCAAAACGCUGGGUUGGUUCUCAAUGACUAGGCUCGUUUAGAACAGGAAGCAGGAUUAAGCCCCACACCAAGAGUGUGGUCCAGUACUAAAAUGUAACCAAUCAUUCAUGGCGUGCUGCAGAUUGGCACUACACAGGCAAAACGUCUACAUUUUCAAAUUCCCACAUCCCCUUUCUGAAAAAGAACAGAGAGCAAUAUAAGCUUCCCAUCAGUCAUUUCACUCUUUGAUCGGAUGUUUACCAAAGCAAGUAAGCAGUACUGAUGAAAUAAUGCUCCUGCUGCGAUGUCAUCAGGAGUGUUUCUGUAACAGCCCCAUGGGAACAUAUAUUGCUAUCUAAUUAAGGCUUAUUUUUCAGCUAUCAGACAGACAAAUUUGUUUCUAAGUGCAGCUAGCUGCUGCUGAAUCGGAAGCCUGUGAGAUUUAAAAUGAAUUAUAUGCUACAGAGCGGGGAAGAGAUAAUAGGGAAGAUCCAGUCCAAUAUCACACAGACAUAGCUUGCUUAAACUGUGUCCAGAGAAACGCUGCAGUCGUAUGCAGAUUUACAUGGGAAAUAGUCCCAUCGGAUUCAGUGAGGCUUCUGAGCAGACAUGUAUAGACUUGCACUCAAAGUUGCAUGGCUGUUGGCAUCAGGGGACAUCUUCAUCAUAGCUAACUUGUCCCAUUCAUUUCAAUGGAAUUCAAGGUCCAGUCAUACUCUGGCUUGGGUCAUUUGUCUCUUGUAUGUGACCCUGAUGGCCACCUUUCUUGAAAAUGGGCAUCAUAUAUUCAUUCACUCAGAAGAACCAGAGUUUUGUGGAAAGUGCAUUUGCUUACUAUUUACUCAGCAAAGGAAAAGGACCUUCCGUUUUUGGUAUUUAUGUUUCCUUGUUGACAACAAAGGAAACUGCCUUAUACCAGGUCAUAUUAUUUGCACAUCUAGUAUAGUUGCUUCUUGAAUGGCAGUUUCCCAGGGUUUCCGACAGAGUGAUUUCCCCAAUCACUUACUACCUUACCCUUCUCACUUGGGUUGCAGGUCCAACCCCCUGCAAUACAGGAAUCAGAUCUGAAGAACCCCUGACAGAUGGCCACCCAAACUCUGUUUAGAAAUCUCCACUGAAAGUGAGUCCAUCACCUUCUACUGUAGUCCAUUCCACUGUCAGGCAGCUCUUACUGCCAGAAACUUCCUAUAAAAGUUUAAUCAGAAUCUACUUCCUUGGAAUUAUAAAUCCAUUGGUUCGUGUCCCAACCAUUAGAACAGCAGAAAACAAGUUUGUUCCACCAUCCACCAGCCCUUCAGAUAUUUGAAGAUGGCUAUCAUAUCA